UUACUGCACAAGUUGUACUCCAAAGUUAGUACUCUAAACCUAUUACAAAGUGUACUCCAUCAUCCAAAGAUCUACAUGGCAUACAAAUGAUCAUCACUGUUUGGAAUCAUCGUCUCGUUAGGAUUAUAGUGGAACUCGCCGCUUGGAUUUAUGACUUGUUCCCAAAGAAAUCCUGCUAUUGCCUCUUGUAUUGCUUGGAGUUAUUCAUGUUGCAUGAGUUUUUGCUUCAACCAUUCAGUCUUCAAUUUGAAUUAAAAAAAUGUAUUAGUUAUAUCAAGAUUAUCAAUAGUAAUUUGAGAGAAAAUGAAAAAAGACAUGUGUUACAUACUCUGAGGUAUUCUUGAGGAAUUCUAUAUGUUUGUACCAUAAUAUACUUGCAAACAUAGUAUCCACAUAAGUUGUUACCCAGUUCUUGUCUCAAAAUUAUUGUAGGAUGUAAAGAUUCAUCUCGUAAAAAAGAUA
rnacentral:lncRNA from 1 species